ensembl:snRNA U7 U7 small nuclear RNA
AAAAAUUUGCUCUUUUAGUAUUUCUCCAGUAGGUUUCCGGAAGCAGAAAGCCUCC